rnacentral:misc_RNA from 1 species
GAAAUGCGAUAAGUAUUGUGAAUUGCAGAAUUCAGUGAAUCAUCGAAACUUUGAACGCACGUUGCGCCCCUUGGUAUUCCAUGGGGCUUGCCUGUGCGAGCGUCCUUUGUACCCUCAAGCUUAGCUUGGUGUUGGGCGUCUUGUCCUCUUCUGGAGGACUCGCCUCAAAACAAUUGGCAGCCGGCAUAUUGGUAUCGGAGCGCAGCACAAGUCGCACUUUGUUCCAUGAAUGUUGGCAUCCAUCAAGACCAUUUUUUCACUCUUGACCUCGGAUCAGGUAGGGAUACCCGCUAAACUUAA